GAUGAACGCUGGCGGCGUGCCUAACACAUGCAAGUCGAGCGGGAAAUCCGUGACGGAUCCUUCGGGUGACGGAUCGGAUGGAGAGCGGCGGACGGGUGAGUAACGCGUAGGUAACCUGCCCUGUACAGAGGGAUAGCCACUGGAAACGGUGAUUAAUACCUCAUAAUGCCGGAUCUGCACAUGCAGGACCGGUCAAAGUUUUUUCGGUACAGGAUGGACCUGCGUCUGAUUAGCUUGUUGGUGGGGUAACGGCUCACCAAGGCGACGAUCAGUAGCCGACCUGAGAGGGUGAUCGGCCACAUUGGAACUGAGACACGGUCCAAACUCCUACGGGAGGCAGCAGUGGGGAAUAUUGCACAAUGGGGGAAACCCUGAUGCAGCAACGCCGCGUGAACGAAGAAGGCUCUUGGGUCGUAAAGUUCUGUUCUGAGGGAAGAAGAAAGUGACGGUACCUCAGGAGAAAGCCCCGGCUAACUACGUGCCAGCCGCCGCGGUAA
rnacentral:rRNA from 1 species